rnacentral:lncRNA from 1 species
CUUUUACUAUGUGAGAGAGGGACAGAGGAUGGGAAUACUGGAGAGGUAAGGAGCAGAAUCAUUAUACUGAAUGAAAGCUUUAGCGCAGUCCCACGUAGAAAACAGACAAAAGCAACAUGGCUCUGAUCCCACUGGAGAUGGAAACCCCCGUUUGCUUUCUCCCUUGGUCCCUGUGACCAACCCUGAGGCACCACUGAGGAUGCCCUGUUUGAAAACCACUGGAUGGGAGGCAGAUGUCAUUGGGAUUAAAAGUGCUGGUUGGUUCCAUGGCUG